CCUACGGGUGGCAGCAGUCGAGAAUCAUUCACAAUGGGGGAAACCCUGAUGGUGCGACGCCGCGUGGGGGAAUGAAGGUCUUCGGAUUGUAAACCCCUGUCAUGUGGGAGCAAAUUAAAAAGAUAGUACCACAAGAGUAAGAGACGGCUAACUCUGUGCCAGCAGCCGCGGUAAUACAGAGGUCUCAAGCGUUGUUCGGAAUCACUGGGCGUAAGGCGUGCGUAGGCUGUUUCGUAAGUCGUGUGUGAAAGGCGCGGGCUCAACCCGCGGACGGCACAUGAUACUGCGAGACUAGAGUAAUGGAGGGGGAACCGGAAUUCUCGGUGUAGCAGUGAAAUGCGUAGAUAUCGAGAGGAACACUCGUGGCGAAGGCGGGUUCCUGGACAUUAACUGACGCUGAGGCACGAAGGCCAGGGGAGCGAAAGGGAUUAGAUACCCGUGUAGUC
rnacentral:rRNA from 1 species